GAUGAACGCUGGCGGCGUGCCUAAUACAUGCAAGUCGAGCGAACGGACGAGAAGCUUGCUUUUCUGAUGUUAGCGGCGGAAGGGUGAGUAACACGUGGAUAACCUACCUAUAAGACUGGGAUAACUUCGGGAAACCGGAGCUAAUACCGGAUAAUAUUUUGAACCGCAUGGUUCAAAAGUGAAAGACGGUCUUGCUGUCACUUAUAGAUGGAUCCGCGCUGCAUUAGCUAGUUGGUAAGGUAACGGCUUACCAAGGCAACGAUGCAUAGCCGACCUGAGAGGGUGAUCGGCCACACUGGAACUGAGACACGGUCCAGACUCCUACGGGAGGCAGCAGUAGGGAAUCUUCCGCAAUGGGCGAAAGCCUGACGGAGCAACGCCGCGUGAGUGAUGAAGGUCUUCGGAUCGUAAAACUCUGUUAUUAGGGAAGAACAUAUGUGUAAGUAACUGUGCACAUCUUGACGGUACCUAAUCAGAAAGCCACGGCUAACUACGU
rnacentral:rRNA from 1 species